rnacentral:rRNA from 1 species
UACGUAGGGUGCAAGCGUUACUCGGAAUUACUGGGCGUAAAGCGUGCGCAGGCGGUUUUGUUAGUCUGUCGUGAAAUCCCCGGGCUCAACCUGGGAAUUGCGAUGGAGACUGCAAGGCUAGAAUCUGGCAGAGGGGGGUAGAAUUCCACGUGUAGCAGUGAAAUGCGUAGAGAUGUGGAGGAACACCGAUGGCGAAGGCAGCCCCCUGGGUCAAGAUUGACGCUCAUGCACGAAAGCGUGGGGAGCAAACAGG